rnacentral:rRNA from 1 species
GACAGAGGUGCCGAGCGUUAGGCGGAAUCACUGGGCUUAAAGCGUGUGUAGGCGGGCCGUUAAGUGUCUUGUGAAAUCCCCCCGGCUCAACCGGGGAAUUGCUGGGCAUACUGGCGGUCUUGAGCAAUCUAGGGGCAGAUGGAACAAGUGGUGGAGCGGUGAAAUGCGUAGAUAUCACUUGGAACGCCAACGGUGAAGACAGUCUGCUGGGGAUUUGCUGACGCUGAGACACGAAAGCCAGGGGAGGCGAACGGGA